rnacentral:rRNA from 2 species
UCAGGAUGAACGCUGGCGGCGUGCCUAACACAUGCAAGUCGAGCGAUCUCUUCGGAGAGAGCGGCGGACGGGUGAGUAACGCGUGGGUAACCUGCCCUGUACACACGGAUAACAUACCGAAAGGUAUACUAAUACGGGAUAACAUAUGAAAGUCGCAUGGCUUUUGUAUCAAAGCUCCGGCGGUACAGGAUGGACCCGCGUCUGAUUAGCUAGUUGGUAAGGUAAUGGCUUACCAAGGCAACGAUCAGUAGCCGACCUGAGAGGGUGAUCGGCCACACUGGAACUGAGACACGGUCCAGACUCCUACGGGAGGCAGCAGUGGGGAAUAUUGCACAAUGGGCGAAAGCCUGAUGCAGCAACGCCGCGUGAGCGAUGAAGGCCUUCGGGUCGUAAAGCU